GUCUAUGGCCAAGACACUCUGAACAUGCCCGAUUUCGUUUGAUCUCGGAAGCUAAGCAGGGUUGGGCCAUUAGUACUUGGAUAGGAGACCACCUAGGAAUACCAGGUGUUGUAGGCA
rnacentral:rRNA from 1 species